GACGGAGGGUGCACGAGUUAUCCGGAAUCCCUGGGUUUAAAGGAUGCGUAGGUGGCAUCGUACGACAGAAGUGAAAGUUUGCGGCUUAACCGUAAAAUUGCUUUUGAUACUGCAAUGCUUGAAUCAGGUUGAGGUUGGCGGAAUGUGGCAUGUAGCGGUGAAAUGCUUAGAUAUGCCAUAGAACACCGAUUGCGAAGGCAGCUGACUGGACCUGUAUUGACGCUGAGGCACGAAAGCGUGGGGCGCGCACAGG
rnacentral:rRNA from 1 species